GCAAAACCUUCUCAGUUCUAGGGUUCUGGAGACUGAAAAAUCUGAAGAUGGACACUCUUUCCAGAAAUUACAUGGUUUCAGAUUUUUACAAGAAAAGAGACUUUAUUUGGAAUGAUUUGCCAAGAUAUUAUAAAUCAAGACACAUACAAAACAGACUUCAAGGAGCUACAGAAACUUACAGAAUUUCAGGAGCUAUGAAAAUAAACUACUGCCAAUGUCCCCAUAGGACAUAUAAAUUUAACUCCGGAGGAAAGAACAAAUGAAAUCAAUUCACUUUUCAAAACGUUACAAAUCUAGCUCAUAGACUGCAUAGCUACUUUUUUCUUUAAAAAUUUGAAUCAAGAUAAUACAUGGAGGGGAUAAAAAGCAAAACCUUUGGAAAACCUGGCAAUGAAAAGCUACAGCUGUGUCAUUUCCCCAUCUUGUGUUCCAAACCCUAAAGAUGAGAAAAUGGAGGCUUAGGAAGAUCUGUGCUUGCUCAAGACCACACGGUUGGUAAGUGGAAUUGGGUCCAAUCCCAGGUCAGCCCCCACGCCUGGCUAUGUCCUGUGGUCCCAGAGACCCUUUUGCCUGGCACCUGUUCCCGAAGUGGGCUCACCUGCUAUUUUUACAUCUAUUACUCUGCAAGGAAUGCUGAAUCCCCAGAGACUUGGCUCCCUGGCUUGUUAAAAUACCACAUGAGUGUGGAGGAGGGGUGGUUACGGAGAAGAUUGCAGAGACCUGUGAUUCAGUCCUAGAGGUCUAGCGCCCUUUGAGUUCCCUCGUUCUCUUGCUGCAGGGAAGCAGGCUUAGAAGAGCUGGUCCAGGAUAUUUUACAGGAAUAGGGAUGAUGAGGCAGAAGCCAGCUCAGAGAUUCCCUGUUCAGCGCUGUUCUUCAACAGCGGCAAAAGAGAACAACAACAUUUGAGUGGCUAUUUGUUCAGCAUCCCACCCCAAAUCUGGGAACACGGGGUCUCAGUGGUGUCACCCUUAUUAGGGUGUCUCUCUCCUCUGUGGCUCUGUGGAAGGCUGCAUUUGUUCUCCUUGCUCCUGGCUGGUUCAAGUCCCCAAGCAGACCUGAGCACACCUGAAAAUUGUU